rnacentral:rRNA from 1 species
GACGAACGCUGGCGGCGUGCUUAACACAUGCAAGUCGAACGGUGAAGCGCCUUCCUUUUUGGUGGGUGUGGAUGAGUGGCGAACGGGUGAGUAACACGUGAGUAACCUGCCCCCUUCUUCUGGAUAACCGCAUGAAAGUGUGGCUAAUACGGGAUAUUCUGGGUCUGCCGCAUGAUGGGUCUGGGAAAGAUAUUGUUUCGGUGGGGGAUGGGCUCGCGGCCUAUCAGCUUGUUGGUGGGGUGAUGGCCUACCAAGGCGGUGACGGGUAGCCGGCCUGAGAGGGUGGACGGUCACAAUGGGACUGAGACACGGCCCAGACUCCUACGGGAGGCAGCAGUGGGGAAUAUUGCACAAUGGGCGCAAGCCUGAUGCAGCGACGCCGCGUGAGGGAUGGAGGCCUUCGGGUUGUGAACCUCUUUCGCCAGUGAAGCAGGCCUGCCUCGUUUGUGGGUGGGUUGACGGUAGCUGGAUAAGAAGCGCCGGCUAACUACGUG